GACGAACGCUGGCGGCGUGCUUAACACAUGCAAGUCGAGCGGAAAGGGCCUGCUUGCUGGGUACUCGAGUGGCGAACGGGUGAGUAACACGUGGGAGAUCUCCCCUGCGCUUCGGGAUACGCCUGGGAAACUGGGCCUAUUACCCGAUCGUAGCCAUUGUUAGUGUGAGGGUUGGUCAGUUUUUUCGGUGUAGGAUGAGCUCGCGGCCUAUUAGCUUGUUGGUGGGGUAAUGGCCUACCAAGGCGGCGACGGGUAGCCGGACUGAGAGGGUGAUCAGCCACCUUGGGACUGAGGGGCGGCCCAGACGCCGACGGGAGGAAGCAGUGGGGAAGCUUGCACAAUGGGCGCAAGGCGGAUGCAGCGGGGCUGCGGAGGGUAUGACGGUCUUAGGGUUGAAAACGGGUUUCGAGAUGGACGAUGCCUUUUGUGACGGUACCUAGAGAAGAAGCACCGGCUAACUACGUG
rnacentral:rRNA from 1 species